rnacentral:rRNA from 1 species
GGCAGAGAUGCCUUAGUGCCUUCGGGAACCGUGAGACAGGUGCUGCAUGGCUGUCGUCAGCUCGUGUUGUGAAAUGUUGGGUUAAGUCCCGCAACGAGCGCAACCCUUAUCCUUUGUUGCCAGCGAGUAAUGUCGGGAACUCAAAGGAGACUGCCGGUGAUAAACCGGAGGAAGGUGGGGAUGACGUCAAGUCAUCAUGGCCCUUACGGCCAGGGCUACACACGUGCUACAAUGGCGCAUACAAAGAGAAGCGACCUCGCGAGAGCAAGCGGACCUCAUAAAGUGCGUCGUAGUCCGGAUCGGAGUCUGCAACUCGACUCCGUGAAGUCGGAAUCGCUAGUAAUCGUAGAUCAGAAUGCUACGGUGAAUACGUUCCCGGGCCUUGUACACACCGCCC